UGGUGUCGAUGGUUGUCGUCAGCUCGUGUCGUGAGAUGUUGGUUAAGUCCGCGACGAGCGCAACCCCUACUUGUUAGUUGCCAUCAUUCAGUUGGGCACUCUAGCGAGACUGCCGGUAAUAAACCGGAGGAAGGUGGGGAUGACGUCAAAUCAUCAUGCCCCUUAUGACCUGGGCUACACACGUGCUACAAUGGUUGGUACAACGAGUUGCGAGUCGGUGACGGCGAGCUAAUCUCUUAAAGCCAAUCUCAGUUCGGAUUGUAGGCUGCAACUCGCCUACAUGAAGUCGGAAUCGCUAGUAAUCGCGGAUCAGCACGCCGCGGUGAAUACGUUCCCGGGCCUU
rnacentral:rRNA from 1 species